CUCGCCGAGUCGUUCUUCCGACUCGCCGAGUCACCGCCAUGCAACUAUUCUACACUCGAUUCUGCUCGAAUCCAAUACAUACAAAUGAUAGAUCUGAGUCCAAUAAGCUGAUUUACCACGUAAAGUUUCCAACUUUACGUGUACAAACACAUGAACAAGGGAAUAAAGGCUAAAAGAUGCUUAAAAGGGGUAGAUCUAGGGUUAAUAUGCAAAAUAGCUCCAUAAAGGCAAUAGAUCUGGGCUCUACAACUCCUAAAUGAACAGAUCUAAAGAUAUCUCGGCAUAAUAGGGCUUCCAUAUCAACAUAAGGCUUGAGAAAAGCAUCAACAAGAUCUAGAAAGGGUUUUAAAGCAUAAAAGGGAAGGAAAUCUGAAGAAUACCUCAAAGAGCUCUUGCUUUCCCUUGAAUCUCUGCUCUACAAUCCUUCUCCUUGCUCCUUUCUUCUUCUCCUUCUUCAAGCCUUCACAAUUAGCACACAAAAUCACUUAGAAUCACUCAAGAACGAAUUAGGGUUUUCUCACAGCUUUAGAGGGUGAAGGAGGCGAGAUUGGGGGCUAUAAGGUGGCUUAAAUAGUGGGCAACCCGGGGAUUUAGGGUUUCUCCCAGACGGACAGACUCGCCGAGUCCAGAAUAUGGACUCGCCGAGUCGCCAGCUAACACGUGCUCGAAAUCCCGACCCUACUCGGCGAGUCAGGCUAUGAACUCGCCGAGUCCCUCUUGCAAAACUUCAAAAUAAAUACCAAGGAAUCAUCAUACCGGAAACGGGUCGUUACAAUUCUCCCCCACUUGUCUCAGACUUCGUCCUCGAAGUCUGCUACGGCUGAAUCUGCAAAUAUCUCUGGGUAGUGCUCCCUCAUCUCCUCCUCAGCCUCCCACGUCCACUCAGACCCCUUCCGGUGCUGCCACUGCACCUUCACUAACUGAAUUUCCUUGUUCCUCAAGGUCUUGGUCUUCCGGUCCAGAAUCGCGACCGGUCUCUCAAUAUAAUUCAGGCUGCUAUCAACCUGAAUAUCCUCUAGGGGAACGACUGCUGACUCAUCCACCAAACACUUCCUCAACUGAGACACAUGGAAAGUGUUGUGGAUCUGACUAAGCUCCUCAGGAAGAUCUAACCGAUAAGCAACCCGACCCACCCGGGCCAAAACCCUGAAAGGACCAAUAAAUCUGGGGCCCAACUUGCCCCUCUUCCGGAACCUGAUGACACCCUUCCAAGGUGAGACUUUCAGAAGGACCAUAUCCCCCACCUGGAACUCCAAGUCCGAACGCCUCCUAUCGGCGUAGCUCUUCUGCCGACUCUGAGCAGUCUGCAGUCUACUACGGACCUGCUGGAUCAACUCAGUCGUCUUGAGCACCACCUCCGUGCUCCCGAUGACCCGCUGACCGACCUCGCCCCAACAAAUCGGGGUCCUACACUUCCUCCCAUACAGCAUCUCAAAGGGAGGUCGAUCAAUGCUCGCAUGAUAACUGUUGUUAUACGAGAAUUCCGCUAACGGAAGAUACGUAUCCCAACUGCCACCGAAAUCUAGGACACAUGCCCUAAGCAUGUCCUCGAGAGUCUGAAUCGUCCUCUCGCUCUGCCCGUCUGUCUGAGGGUGGAAAGCGGUGCUGAAAUGGAGACGAGUACCCAUCUCGUCGUGGAACCGCUUCCAAAAUCUGGAUGUGAAACGGACAUCUCGGUCUGACACCACCGAUACCGGCACUCCAUGACGUGCCACAAUCUCACGCACAUAGAUAUCGGCUAACUUCUCCGCCGAUAUACUCUCCUGGAUCGGGAUAAAAUGGGCACUCUUCGUCAACCGAUCCACUACUACCCAUAUCGAAUCCACUCCACGUGCGGUCCGGGGAAGCUUGGUGACAAAAUCCAUGGUGAUGUCCUCCCAUUUCCACACGGGAAUGUCUAACGGUUGCAUCCUGCCGUGAGGUCUCUGGUGCUCCGCCUUGACCUUCCGGCAGGUCAGGCAUCUCUCGACGUACCAGGCGACGUCCCGCUUCAUGCAGGGCCACCAAUAAUCAGGUCGAAGAUCUCGAUACAUCUUCGUCGCCCCUGGGUGGAUAGAAAACCGAGACUUAUGAGCCUCAUCCAUCAACACUUGCCGUACUCCACCCCAGUACGGUACCCACACUCUCCCGUGAAGCGUCAGCAAACCACGACUAUCAUAAUCAAACGAGGCUACUCGGCCCACGAUCCUCUCACACUUCUGUCUCUCCUCCUUGAGACCCUCUACCUGAGCCUCCUUGAUCCGCUCCAACAACGGAGUGAUCACUGUCAUCCUCAAACAUAGAUCCCUGAUAGGGGCCGCCGACACCUUGCGGCUCAGGGCAUCGGCCACCACAUUGGCCUUCCCUGGAUGGUAUAGGAUCUCACAGUCGUAAUCCUUUAGCACAUCCAACCACCUCCUCUGCCUCAUAUUCAGACUCGGCUGAUCCAUAAGAUACCUCAAACUCUUGUGAUCCGUGUAUAUAGUACAACGGACCCCAUAAAGGUAAUGCCUCCAAAUCUUGAGGGCAAACACAACUGCCCCCAGCUCCAAAUCAUGGGUAGGAUAAUUAGCCUCGUGAGGCUUCAACUGUCUCGAGGCAUAAGCUAUCACAUGGCCUCGCUGCAUCAGAACUGCUCCCAAACCUGUGAUCGAGGCAUCACAAUAGACUACAAAGUCCUCUACUCCCUCUGGCAAGGUAAGGAUCGGAGCCUCGCACAAUCUCUGCCUGAGGGUCUCGAACGCUGUCUGCUGCUCAGGACCCCAACGAAAUACCACUGACUUCUUGGUCAGUCGGGUGAGCGGCACUGCUAUCUUGGAGAAAUCCUGAAUAAAUCUCCGAUAAUACCCUGCCAACCCUAGGAAGCUCCGAAUCUCAGAUGGAGACUUCGGGACCUCCCACUGCAUCACGGCCUCUAUCUUGGCCGGAUCUACCAAAAUACCCUUCUGGUUGACGAGGUGACCAAGGAACUGCACCUCGCGCAACCAGAACUCACAUUUGGAGAACUUUGCGAAAAGUCUCUCCCUCCUCAAAACCUCCAGCACCUCCCGCAGGUGCUCCUCGUGCUGCUCCUGCGUCUUGGAAUAUACCAAGAUAUCAUCUAUGAACACUAUCACUGACCGAUCCAGCAUCGGCCUACACACGCGGUUCAUGAGAUCCAUGAACGCGGCUGGAGCAUUGGUGAGCCCAAAUGGCAUCACCACAAACUCAUAAUGACCAUACCUGGUCCUGAAAGCAGUCUUCUGUACAUCCUCAUCUCUAACCCGCAUCUGAUGAUAACCGGAGCGUAGAUCGAUCUUGGAGAACCAAGACGCUCCCUGAAGCUGAUCAAACAAAUCAUCUAUCCUCGGAAGUGGGUAACGGUUCUUCACCGUUACCUUAUUCAACUCCCGAUAAUCUAUACACAUACGAUGCGACCCAUCCUUCUUCCUCACAAACAGGAUCGGCGCUCCCCAAGGCGAACUGCUCGGCCGAAUGAAACCCUUGUCUAACAGCUCCUGCAGCUGUGUAGACAACUCCUGCAUCUCAGGGGGAGCUAGUCGAUACGGUGCCUUGGCUAUCGGAGCCGCACCAGGAAUGAGGUCGAUCCUGAACUCAACCUGUCUCUCAGGAGGUAUCCCCGGCAAAUCCUCGGGAAACACAUCCGGGUAGUCUCGAACAAUAGGAACAUCAUCCACUGUCGACUUGCCCUUCUCCCGGGCAUCCAAAACGUAAGCUACAAAACCGGCGCAACCCUGCUGAACAUAGCGCCUCGCCCUUGCGGCGGAACAAAAGGUCGGUCCUCGCUGUGGCCUCUCGCCCUGAAUCACCAACUCUCCCCCACUGGGAGUGCGAACCCUCACUAGCUGAAGCUCACAAUCAAUCACCGCCCCAUUGGGGCUUAGCCAAUCCAUACCCACAAUAACCUUAUUCCCUCGCAGGGGAAUAGGUACCAGAUCCACUGAAAACUGCUCAUCAAAUAACUGAAGAGAACACCCUCUAUGCACUCUGCCGACCCUCACGGUCCUAUCAUCCGCUAUCUCAACCUCUAAUGGACAAUCCAGCUCCCCUGGAGCUCUACUAAAUCUCUUGCUAAGCGCAAGUGAUACGAAUGAUCGGGUAGCCCCCGAAUCGAAUAAUACCAUAGCAGAAAUGCCGUUCACAGAGAACGACCCUGAAUAAAACAUACAAUCAUAAGCAAUAUUCAAUCAAUAAUAAUAAAGAGAUAAAGGGAAGAUACAUACCCGUCACCACAUCAGGAGUCGCUCGCGCCUCCUCUGCUGUCAUCUGAAACGCCCUACUCUUCGCCACUGGCGCAUCAGCUCGGCCCUGCCGGCCAUCUGUAAUCCUCAAGGUAGCAGGGGCAGGUGCAGCCACCUUCCCUGCUGCAGCUAAACUCGGACACUGGGACUUUUUAUGUCCCCUCUGAUUGCACUGAAAGCAAAUCAGAUCUGAUGCUGCGACGGCAGUAGCAGGGGCCGUACAAUCCCUACUCAAAUGCCCAAUCCGACCGCACUUGUAGCAGCCGGAACUCCCUGCCUUGCACGCUCCCUCGUGCAAUCUCCCACACUUGCCACAUCGACCGUGGCUCUGCUGACUCCUAGAUCUGUGAUCUGAAACCUUGGGCUUUUUGCCCGAACCGCCUGAACCCGAAACCGCCUCCGGUUUCCUCUUCUUCUCCAUCUCGAGAUCAAUCUCCCUCUCCCGAGCCCUAGCAAUCAUAUCUUCCAGCGUUUUACAGCUGGACCGGCUCACAAACUGGCGGAUAUCGCUCCGCAACAUCUCAUGAUAAUGGGCCUUCUUCAUUUCCUCAUCUGCUACGUACUGAGGAACGAGAAGAGCCCUCUCCCUGAACUUGGCGGUGAUCUCCGCCACUGUCUCUGUAGUCUGGGUGAGGUCCUGAAACUCCCUAGCNNNNNNNNNNNNNNNNNNNNNNNNNNNNNNNNNNNNNNNNNNNNNNNNNNNNNNNNNNNNNNNNNNNNNNNNNNNNNNNNNNNNNNNNNNNNNNNNNNNNNNNNNNNNNNNNNNNNNNNNNNNNNNNNNNNNNNNNNNNNNNNNNNNNNNNNNNNNNNNNNNNNNNNNNNNNNNNNNNNNNNNNNNNNNNNGUUGGCCACACCAACCAUCUAGUACUCGCUAUGGGGUCCCGCGCCCCAUGAUAGUCCGGAGCUCCACAUGCAUGAACUCCCUGAAAGUAAGGGUGCGCGACCCCAUCAUGGCCGCCACCUCGGCACGGAAGGUGCCCAAUCUCUCAUCCAUCAGCUCUAGAAUUCCCUCCUUGAUCGAACCGAAGAUCACAGGAGUCUGCUCUAUAAUGAUGCGCGUAAUCUCCGAAGAAAGAAAAUCUCGGGUCUGCUCAUCCAUGCGCUCAUCCCCCGAGCCUGAACCUGAUCCCUCCCCGGCACCUCCACUGCCGGCUGCUGGUCUCGAACGCAAAACCACCAUUCUGAAACACAUCACAACUACAUCAGAAAACGGAAAUAUCUCAAGGGAUCAUUGAUACUACAACUAGCUCCCUGGUCUUGUCUCAGCCUUUCUUGAUUCGAGUACGGAUCCUCUGCUUUCAGUAGUACGGGCCCAUACUACCUUCCACAUCUAUCCGUACUUUCUUCAAGAACUGCCCUGACUCCACCAAGUCACUUCUACUACUACUGAUCUCUGCUACUCUCAUCCUAGGCUUGCCCCAGGGAAACCUCAGACUCAACUCAACUAGUCCUCAGCUGCUGCAGGUCUCCUUAUAAUGCUAAUUAACCACCACCUGAACACCAUCACAUGUGACGAAGAUCAGAUAAUCCUUCAAGUAAAAGACCCGUCCCUAUAACGGUUGGACUCAAACAAGAGCUGCGCAAUAGGGCCAGUUCCAGCACUCUGGGAUUAUUCAACCCUGAUCACAUGUGGUGUGACGUGUUCACCUAAUGGCUAACUCCCAUCACUCAGAACCCCACAAAGCACGAAGCAAGCAGCAUUCGGAUAAAGGAAACAUACUCAGGCAAAACUAUUCUCAUAACGAGAAACUGUACUAGCAUACAAUGCUAAGCUCAUACUAUCAGGCAUAACCUAAACAGGCUAUCCUACUGCUGUCUACUCAAUACUAGCAUGCAAUACUCAUAAAGCUGUAACACAUAAAGCAGGCACAUAAGGCAUCCUCCUAGAUCCUUAGUCCUAUACUAGCAUGCUGUUCUACUGAAACUGAAACUGAACAAAUAACUUGUAUGGGUAAUUUGGGAGUACUUACUUGAGCUCGGCUGAUCGCAUGCACCACACCCUUAUCUCGUUUAAAAAUUUCUUUCUUUCUAAGUGCUUUCAAAAUUCUUUUAGAAAACAUUUUCCUUUUUAAAAAUCUUUUUAUUUCCCCUUAGUUUGAGUUCAGAUACACCCGGAAGUGUAUCCGAAUCCCUCAAACCAGGGCUCUGAUACCAACUUGAAACGACCCAAAAAUACGACCCAAAAAUUUCAUUUUUCAACAUAACCAAAAACCAUAAUCUGAGUGUCAUAUCAUAAACCAUACAUGAUGUAUCUCAAAAUAAUUAAAAAAACACUGUGCGGAAAACUGUAUCAUAUCCAUGUCAUAUAAAAAUCAAAAACUAAAUCAACUCCCAGGAUAAAAGCUGAAGCUGUGGUGUGUGCGAUGCCAUCAUCCCGAGCUCUUCCCUUUGCUUGCGGAAGUACCUGAAACCAAAACUGAAACUGUAAGCACGAAGCUUAGUGAGCUCCCCCAAUCUACCACAUACCACACAAUAACAUAUAAAGCACAUACUGGGCCUUGCCCACUGCAUCGGACCGAAGUCCGGACUAACUGGGGCCUUGCCCCCUACAUCGGACCGAAGUCCGAAGCUGACUGGGACCUUGUCCCCUACAUCGGACCGAAGUCCGAAGCUGACAUCGGACCGAAGUCCGAAGCUGACUGGGACCUUGUCCCCUACAUCGAACCGAAGUCCGAAGCUGACAUCGGACCGAAGUCCGAAGCUGACUGGGACCUUGUCCCCUACAUCGAACCGAAGUCCGAAGCUGACAUCGGACCGAAGUCCGAAGCUGACUGGGACCUUGUCCCCUACAUCGAACCGAAGUCCGAAGCUGACAUCGGACCGAAGUCCGAAGCUGACUGAUCAUAACAUAAACGUAUCACUUAACAUGAACACACAUAAUCCUGUCUGAGCCACGAAGGCAUCAAACAUGCUAACUACUGCAUCGGAUCAAAAUCCGGAUACUACUGCUAGCUAAACGGGCCGGCAUUGUGGCCUUAGACCCGUUCCUACUGAAAGGAAACUCACCUCGUGAACUGGCUGCUGAGUGAAUAGCUCUGAGGGCUAACUGCUGCUGCUCCGGUAUCUCCCCGGCUACAAGUCCAUAAACACACUCAAUCAAAUACUAAACACUGCACUGGGUAAAAUGACUCUUUUACCCUUGGUCAAAGUCAACUCUCGGUCAAAGUCAACCCACAGUUGACCUGACUCGCCGAGUUGGGCCGCCAACUCGCCGAGUCCCUAUUCUCACUCCUCGACCCUACUCGCUGCUACUCGUCGAGUAUGGCAUCGACUCGACGAGUACCCUCUCGAUCCAAGAACUCAGACAAUCUUCAUCCGACUCGCCGAGUCAUAUGAACAACUCGACGAGUUGUUCUUGAGCUUAAGAAGAUUGCCUUGGACUCGCCGAGUUGUAUGAACAACUCGCCGAGUCCCUCCAUUACUGAGUCUACCCUCAAACUCGCUGAGUCCACUCCACUACUCACUGGUCCCACUCGACACCGCUCAAAAGGAAGAAAUCGGGGACUCGCGACUCGACUCGCCGAGUCGUUCUUCCGACUCGCCGAGUCACCGCCAUGCAACUAUUCUACACUCGAUUCUGCUCGAAUCCAAUACAUACAAAUGAUAGAUCUGAGUCCAAUAAGCUGAUUUACCACGUAAAGUUUCCAACUUUACGUGUACAAACACAUGAACAAGGGAAUAAAGGCUAAAAGAUGCUUAAAAGGGGUAGAUCUAGGGUUAAUAUGCAAAAUAGCUCCAUAAAGGCAAUAGAUCUGGGCUCUACAACUCCUAAAUGAACAGAUCUAAGGAUAUCUCGGCAUAAAAGAGCUUCCAUAUCAACAUAAGGCUUGAGAAAAGCAUCAACAAGAUCUAGAAAGGGUUUUAAAGCAUAAAAGGGAAGGAAAUCUGAAGAAUACCUCAAAGAGCUCUUGCUUUCCCUUGAAUCUCUGCUCUACAAUCCUUCUCCUUGCUCCUUUCUUCUUCUCCUUCUUCAAGCCUUCACAAAUGCACACAAGAUCACUUAAAACACUCAAGAUCGAAUUAGGGUUUUCUCACAGCUUUUGAGGGUGAAGGAGGCGAGAUUGGGGGCUAUAAGGUGGCUUAAAUAGUGGGCAACCCGGGGAUUUAGGGUUUCUCCCAGACGGACAGACUCGCCGAGUCCAGAAUAUGGACUCGCCGAGUCGCCAGCUAACACGUGCUCGAAAUCCCGACCCUACUCGGCGAGUCAGGCUAUGAACUCGCCGAGUCCCUCUUGCAAAACUUCAAAAUAAAUACCAAGGAAUUAUCAUACCGGAGACGGGUCGUUACAA
rnacentral:lncRNA from 1 species